UNUGACUUGAGUGCAGAAGGGGAGAGUGGAAUUCCAUGUGUAGCGGUGAAAUGCGUAGAUAUAUGGAGGANCACCAGUGGCGAAAGCGGCUCUCUGGUCUGUCACUGACGCUGAGGCUCGAAAGCGUGGGUAGCGAACAGGAUUAGAUACCCUGGUAGUCCACGCCGUAAACGAUGAGUGCUAGGUGUUAGGCCCUUUCCGGGGCUUAGUGCCGGAGCUAACGCAAUAAGCACUCCGCCUGGGGAGUACGACCGCAAGGUUGAAACUCAAAGGAAUUGACGGGGGCCCGCACAAGCGGUGGAGCAUGUGGUUUAAUUCGAAGCAACGCGAAGAACCUUACCAGGUCUUGACAUCCCGAUGCUAUUCUUAGAGAUAGGAAGUUACUUCGGUACAUCGGAGACAGGUGGUGCAUGGUUGUCGUCAGCUCGUGUCGUGAGAUGUUGGGUUAAGUCCCGCAACGAGCGCAACCCUUAUUGUUAGUUGCCAUCAUUAAGUUGGGCACUCUAGCGAGACUGCCGGUAAUAAACCGGAGGAAGGUGGGGAUGACGUCAAAUCAUCAUGCCCCUUAUGACCUGGGCUACACACGUGCUACAAUGGUCGGUACAACGAGUUGCGAGCCGGUGACGGCAAGCUAAUCUCUGAAAGCCGAUCUCAGUUCGGAUUGGAGGCUGCAACUCGCCUCCAUGAAGUCGGAAUCGCUAGUAAUCGCGGAUCAGCACCCCGCGGUGAAUACGUUCCCGGGCCUUGUACACACCGCCCGUCACACCACGAGAGUUUGUAACACCCGAAGUCG
rnacentral:rRNA from 1 species